rnacentral:rRNA from 1 species
UACAGAGGUCUCAAGCGUUGUUCGGAUUCAUUGGGCGUAAAGGGUGUGUAGGUGGCGCCGUAAGUCGGGUGUGAAAUCUCGGGGCUCAACCCCGAAACUGCACUUGAUACUGUGGUGCUCGAGUACUGGAGAGGAGAUUGGAAUUUACGGUGUAGCAGUGAAAUGCGUAGAUAUCGUAAGGAAGACCAGUGGCGAAGGCGAAUCUCUGGACAGUUACUGACACUGAGGCACGAAGGCCAGGGGAGCAAACAGG